rnacentral:rRNA from 1 species
AAUAGAUACCCGGGUAGUCCAUGCCGUAAACGAUGUCUACUAGCCGUUGGGGCCUUUGAGGCUUUAGUGGCGCAGCUAACGCGAUAAGUAGACCGCCUGGGGAGUACGGUCGCAAGACUAAAACUCAAAUGAAUUGACGGGGGCCCGCACAAGCGGUGGAGCAUGUGGUUUAAUUCGAUGCAACGCGAAGAACCUUACCUGGUCUUGACAUAGUAAGAACUUUCCAGAGAUGGAUUGGUGCCUUCGGGAACUUACAUACAGGUGCUGCAUGGCUGUCGUCAGCUCGUGUCGUGAGAUGUUGGGUUAAGUCCCGCAACGAGCGCAACCCUUUUCCUUAUUUGCCAUCGGGUUAAGCUGGGAACUUUAAGGAUACUGCCAGUGACAAACUGGAGGAAGGCGGGGACGACGUCAAGUCAUCAUGGCCCUUACGACCAGGGCUACACACGUGCUACAAUGGUCGGUACAAAGGGUUGCUACCUAGCGAUAGGAUGCUAAUCUCAAAAAGCCGAUCGUAGUCCGGAUUGGAGUCUGCAACUCGACU